GCCUAAUACAUGCAAGUAGAACGCUGAAGAGAGGAGCUUGCUCUUCUUGGAUGAGUUGCGAACGGGUGAGUAACGCGUAGGUAACCUGCCUUGUAGCGGGGGAUAACUAUUGGAAACGAUAGCUAAUACCGCAUAACAAUGGAUGACACAUGUCAUUUAUUUGAAAGGGGCAAUUGCUCCACUACAAGAUGGACCUGCGUUGUAUUAGCUAGUAGGUGAGGUAACGGCUCACCUAGGCGACGAUACAUAGCCGACCUGAGAGGGUGAUCGGCCACACUGGGACUGAGACACGGCCCAGACUCCUACGGGAGGCAGCAGUAGGGAAUCUUCGGCAAUGGGGGCAACCCUGACCGAGCAACGCCGCGUGAGUGAAGAAGGUUUUCGGAUCGUAAAGCUCUGUUGUAAGUCAAGAACGAGUGUGAGAGUGGAAAGUUCACACUGUGACGGUAGCUUACCAGAAAGGGACGGCUAACUACGUGCCAGCAGCCGCGGUAAUACGUAGGUCCCGAGCGUUGUCCGGAUUUAUUGGGCGUAAAGCGAGCGCAGGCGGUUUGAUAAGUCUGAAGUUAAAGGCUGUGGCUCAACCAUAGUUCGCUUUGGAAACUGUCAAACUUGAGUGCAGAAGGGGGGAGUGGAAUUCCAUGUGUAGCGGUGAAAUGCGUAGAUAUAUGGAGGAACACCGGUGGCGAAAGCGGCUCUCUGGUCUGUAACUGACGCUGAGGCUCGAAAGCGUGGGGAGCGAACAAGGAUUAGAUACCCUGGU
rnacentral:rRNA from 1 species